GUGCCAGCCGCCGCGGUAAUACCGGCAGCUCAAGUGAUGGCCGCUGUUAUUGGGCCUAAAGCGUCCGUAGCUGGCCGCACAAGUCCGUCGGGAAAUCCGCCCGCUCAACGGGUGGGCGUCCGGUAGAAACUGGCCGGCUUGGAACCGGAAGGCUCAGAGAGUACGUCCGGGGUAGGAGUGAAAUCCCGUAAUCCCGGACGGACUACCGAUGGCGAAAGCACUCUGAGAAGACGGCUUCGACAGUGAGGGACGAAAGCUCGGGUCUCAAACCGGAUUAGAAACCCUUGUAGUCC
rnacentral:rRNA from 1 species